UACAGAGGUCCCAAGCGUUGUUCGGAUUCACUGGGCGUAAAGCGUGCGCAGGCGGUUCGUUAAGUUCGUUGUGAAAGCCCCGGGCUCAACCUGGGAACUGCAAUGGAAACUGGCGGGCUUGAAUGCGGCAGAGGGGGGUGGAAUUCCGCGUGUAGCAGUGAAAUGCGUAGAUAUCUGGAGGAACACCGGUGGCGAAGGCGGCAUCCUGGACCGGGAUUGACACUGAGGCGCGAAAGCCAGGGGAGCAAACGGG
rnacentral:rRNA from 1 species